UAACAAGGAUUCCCCUAGUAACUGCGAGUGAAGAGGGAAAAGCUCAAAUUUAAAAUCUGGCAGUCUGUUGAUUGUCCGAGUUGUAAUCUAGAGAAGCAUUAUCCGCGCUGGACCAUGUAUAAGUCUCCUGGAAUGGAGUGUCAUAGAGGGUGAGAAUCCCGUCUUUGACAUGGACUACCAGUGCUUUGUGAUGUGCUCUCAAAGAGUCGAGUUGUUUGGGAAUGCAGCUCUAAAUGGGUGGUAAAUUCCAUCUAAAGCUAAAUAUUGGCGAGAGACCGAUAGCGAACAAGUACCGUGAGGGAAAGAUGAAAAGAACUUUGGAAAGAGAGUUAAACAGUACGUGAAAUUGUUGAAAGGGAAACGCUUGAAGUCAGUCACAUUGACUAGGAAUCAACCUUGCUACUUGCUUGGUGUAGUUUCUGGUUAAUGGGUCAGCAUCAAUUUUGAUCAAUGGAAAAAGAUUAAGGGAAUGUGGCAUCUUUGGAUGUGUUAUAGCCUUUGAUUGUAUACAUUGGUUAGAAUUGAGGAACUCAGCACUUGUUGUUUAGGAUGCUGGCAUAAUGGCUUUAAUC
rnacentral:rRNA from 1 species